UACAGAGGUGGCAAGCGUUGUUCGGAAUUACUGGGCGUAAAGGGCGCGUAGGCGGUCUGGUCAGUCCCCUUGUGAAAUCCCCCGGCUCAACUGGGGAACUGCACGGGAAACAGCCGGGCUUGAGUUCGGGAGAGGGAAGCGGGAAUUCCGGGUGUAGCGGUGAAAUGCGUAGAUAUCCGGAAGAACACCGGUGGCGAAGGCGGCCUGCUGGGCCUGUCCUGACACUGAGGCGCGGAAAGCGUGGGGAGCAAACAGG
rnacentral:rRNA from 1 species